UUUUGGGAUCCUGGGAGAUGCGGAGCUGAAGAGACUCUGGCAGAAGUGGGUCUAGCAUCCGGGCUGUGUUGGAGCAGAGUGGUCCUUGCAACCAAAUGUAGCAGGUGGUAGGCUGGUCACUUCCAGGAUGUACCCCUAGAUGUACCAUAAUGCAAUCUAGGAUUUCCAUUGGUCACCACACCCUUAUUUCUUUGUUUUACAUAAUUUUUAGAUUUUUUUAGGGUGAAGGAACACAUGGCAAUGUUCAGGGGUUAUUCCUAUCUCUGCAUUCAGGGAUCACUCAUGGUGGUGCUCAGAGAAACAUGGAAUGCCGGCAGUCAAACCUGGGUAGACACGUUCAAGACAAGAACCCCACCCACUAUAUUUCUGUUAUUAUCAAUUGUAGUUUUUGGUCCACAGCUGGCAAGUGCUCAGGGCUCACUCUUGGAUCUUAGCUCAGGCGUGGCUCCUGGCAGUGCUGGGGUGGGGAAAUCUAUGUGCUCUUGCAUAUUAACCCGGGCUCAGCUGCUUGAACAAAAAGCAUCCUAUCCAUUUACUAUCUCUGCUAACUCUGAUUUUAUUUUUCCCCAGAAAAAUAAUUUCUGCUUCCCCUGUUAGGUUUCAGAGCAAUCCCUCAUUGACGGAGGUAUUUCUCCAGGACGAGAGGCUGCCCUUUCUGUUCUGGUGAUUCCACGGAGCCACCUGCUAAUCCUUGGGAAUUACAGAAGCUGCAGACAAUGGUGACAUGCCACUGACACACUGUUUCAGAUAUUCAUCAUCAUCAUCAUCCCGUUGAUCGUUGAAUUUCUCGAGUGGUCUCAGUAACAUCUCCAUUCGUCCUAGCCCUGAGAUUUUAUAAGCCUCUCUUUACUCGUCCUUCCCAACGAUGCCAAAUUGGAGGCUCUUUCAGGGUCAGGGGAAUGAGACCCAGCUUUGUUACUGGUUUUGGCAUAUGAACACACCAUGGGGAGUUUGCCAGGAUCUCCCAUGGGGGAAGGAACUCUCGGUAGCUUGCCAGGUUCUCCUAGAGGGAGAAGUAGACUAUAAAAUAUAUAGACUAUAUAAGGCUUAAGGGAGCUUAGUUAUAAAUCUCUGGAUGUUGGCCAUUGGUGAGAUUACACAGCGCCGGGGGCAGUCCCUGGGUGUGACUGCCUAGCUACUGGAAAAUAGGAAAUCUGGACAGAGGAGGCCCAGUCCCCAUCUGAGCAGGCUUGGAGGUCUCAGCCCCGGGUCCCACACACCUAGGUGCCUCUGCCGGUCGCUUCAUGCAUGAGGCUUAUCCAAUCGUGUGGAAAGGGGCCUUGAGCAUGGCUGUGGCUAGGUUCCAGAUGUCUUCGGCCACGGAAGCUCUGCUUGGGACGGGGAGGGAAGCUGGAGUCCACCCCCUCCGAGGACCCGGAAAAGACAGCCAGGCUCACGUGCAAGAGACUCUAGGUUGCUCUCUUCCAGGAGCUUGUUUUUUUCUUUAUAGUAAAAUUGUAUUUAAAGAACACAGAACCAGACAUCCUGGUUCUAUAUGCUAGAUCUUCAGUCCUGUGGUUUAAAAUUUGAUAAAUUUUAUUGUAGAUAUUAUAAUACAUAAUAAAAUAUAGAAACUAAUAAAAAUUAGUGGUGAAUUAUUAAUUU